CCCCCGACCCCUCCCUUUCCUUAAUGACCCCGACCCCUCCCUCUCCUUAAUGACCCCUGACCCCUCCCUCUCCUUAAUGACCCCUGACCCGUCCCCCUGACCCCUCCCUCUCCUUCAUGACCCCUGACCCCUCCCCCGACCCCUCCCUCUCCUUAAUGACCCCUGACCCCUCCCUCUCCUUAAUGACCCCUGACCCCUCCCUCUCCUUAGUGACCCCUGACCCCUCCCUCUCCUUAAUGACCCCUGACCCCUCCCUCUCCUUAAUGACCCUUGACCCCUCCCUCUCCUUAAUGACCCCUCCCGGACCCCCCCCUCUCCUUCAUGACCCCUGACCCCUCCCUCUCCUUAAUGACCCCUGACCCCUCCCUCUCCUUAAUGACCCCUGACCCCUCCCCCGGACCCCUCCCUCUCCUUAAUGACCUGCGGUCAGUCCCUUUGGAUAGAUGCCUCUGAUGGUAGUGAAGGCUCCACGGUGGACGGCUGCAGACUGGGUGCUGCUGUAGACUCUGGGUGGGUGCUGCUGUAGACACUGGGUGGGUGCUGCUGUAGACUCUGGGUGCUGCUGUAGACUCUGGGUGCUGCUGUAGACUCUGGGUGGGUGCUGCUGUAGACACUGGGUGGGUGCUGCUGUAGACUCUGGGUGGGUGCUGCUGUAGCACCCCUGGGUGCUGCUGUAGACACUGGGUGCUGCUGUAGACUCUGGGUGCUGCUGUAGACACUGGAUGCUGCUGUAGCACCCCUGGGUGCUGCUGUAGACACUGGGUGCUGCUGUAGACUCUGGGUGCUGCUGUAGACACUGGAUGCUGCUGUAGCACCUGGGUGCUGCUGUAGACACUGGAUGCUGCUGUAGACACUGGGUGCUGCUCUAGACACUGGGUGCUGCUGUAGACUCUGGGUGCUGCUCUAGACACUGGGUGCUGCUGUAGACUCUGGGUGCUGCUCUAGACACUGGGUGCUGCUGUAGACACUGGGUGCUGCUGUAGACUCUGGGUGCUGCUGUAGACUCUGGGUGCUGCUGUAGACUCUGGGUGCUGCUGUAGACUCUGGGUGCUGCUGUAGACACUGGGUGCUGCUGUAGACUCUGGGUGCUGCUGUAGACUCUGGGUGCUGCUGUAGCAACCCUGGGUGCUGCUGUAGACUCUGAGUGCUGUUGUAGCACCCCUGGGUGCUGCUGUAGACACUGGUCUCCUCCUGGGUGCUGCUGUAGACGCUGGUCUCCUCCUGGGUGCUGUUGUAGCACCCCUGGGUGCUGCUGUAGACACUGGGUGCUGCUGUAGACACUGGUGCUGCUGUAGCACCCCUGGGUGCUGCUGUAGACACUGGGUGCUGCUGUAGCACCCCUGGGUGCUGCUGUAGACACUGGGGUCUCCUCCUGGGUGCUGCUGUAGCACCCUGGGUCUCCUCCUAGACACUGGUCUCCUCCUGGGUGCUGCUGUAGACACUGGGUGCUGCUGUAGACACUGGGUGCUGCUGUAGCACCCCUGGGUGCUGUUGUAGACGCUGGUCUCCUCCUGGGCUCCCGCCUGCAGGGUGACGUUAAUAAGAUGGUAUUCGUCAACAGAAAGAGCAUAUAUUUUUUACUAAACGUAUUGCCUGUGUACCUGAUCUGCACACGAGAAAUCAUAGAGGUUAUAUAGUAGUGUACAAACACAUUGUAAAUGAAUUAAUAUUUAUACUUCAAAUCUAUAGACAUUGAUUCUUCUCAAAUGUCUUUACCUUAGCAGAUGUUACUUCAACCUUGAUCACAGACGUCUUUCGUGGGAUGUAAAUACUCCUUCAUGUUUUCAAUGUUUUGGCAAAACCCUUUUCUAAGCAGUUUCUAUUUGCGACGGAAAACCGUGGUGAAACGGUUUGGAGCCAUCCUGGGAAGAUUCUGGAGACCUUCAUCUUGACAAGAUAGCUUAAGAGUUUGAGGACCUUUAUCUUAACAAGCUAGCUUAAGAGUUUGAGGACUUUAAAGUUGUAGAGCUGGCAUAAGUGUUAGAAAACUUUGAGGACCCCCGCCAAAAUGGCGUCCUCGGAGGAGAUAACGUUGCAUUAGAUACCUGUUCCCGACACACCUGUUAAGUUUGCUUAAAUUCUCGUCAUACUCGGUAUAACCUAAGUCAUGUUUGUGUAUUCAAACCCCUUCUGGCCUACAACUUAUGCAACAAGAGUUCAGUUUAUUUUCUAAUUUCUAUGUUUGGUUUUUAGGUUUAAGUUUUAAGCCUGUGAUGAGGCACUGACUUCCUGGUCACAUGUUUCUGUCCGUCACACCUGGGUCUGCGUGGACAUGCCCACAACCUCCCCAAGAACUUCCUCACUCAGAGGCCCACCCGGCUCUCUCGAGUGGAUUCAACGGAUCAGUUCUUUAUUCGUAUCUUUCUUUAUCGCAAUGCCAUUUUUAACAGACUCCCCCUGUGAGACUUGAACCCAAACCAGCGAACCAGGAAGAGGUUCAGGAAGGAGCCCCUUCUGGUCGGAGGAGGUACUGCUGGUCAAGUGGAAGGUGAGGAACAGACGCUAACGUGCACACUAGCAGCGUGCAUGUGAAUCAGCCGGCGAUGAGGACCUCACUGGGAGCAUGGUGGUGGUGGAUCUCCAAGGGCGCGUUUGGGUUGGUGGUCAUCUCGUUUGGCUUGGUGGUCAUCUUGUUCGCUGCCUUUUGCACAUGAACUGUGGUUUUGUUUUAAGUGGUUUUGUUUUAAGUGUUGUGUACAUCGAGCUGAGGGGAACUUAAGGGUAAAGUGGUCCUGCCCGGAUAUGAAACCUGUAUAGAAUCACUCCCCAAAGCGUCCUCCUGGCUGUGGGCUAUUCUCUAUCUAGUGUUUGAAGAUCACUGUUAAUCGUUUAGACAAUAAGGUACCUUGGUUUAUUCAGAUAGUAACACAACAUGACUGACAUUUGAAAUGGUAAGAAGUAAGCGUGGAAUAAGUCCUCUGAAAAGUUUCUACGCCCAGUAUUCUGUUAGCUCACCGUAGGCUCUGUGUGUGGUUAAUGAAGAGCUCUUGUUUAAUGUUUAGGUUCUUGUUCCGACUUGGUAGCAAUCAUCUCAAACAUGUAACAAAUAAACUCAUUUAUUUUCUACAACGUGUGCAGUGCAAUGACCUUUGGCUUUUUGAAAGAAGAACAGCACAUUGAUCACCCUGGAAGGUCACGGCAAAGGAAACACAAAAGAGUUCGACCCACGACUGCUAAUUUGCAAAAGAGCAACGGAUUAUAAUUUGUAAUCAGAUAAAAAUUGAUUACAAUCCUAUUGUGUAGUGAUUGGCUUAAGCAUACACACAAAAACAAAUGCAAAACAACAUUAGCUUUAGCCUACAAGUCAAUUAACUCUGAGAUCCUCGAACCAACCUCAUCAACGUAAGUGUAAUGGAUUAGGUUAAUUAAUGACGAUUAAAUAAUAAAAGUAGUUUGAUCAAAAAUGGACCACGAGUUUGUUUAAACAGUUAGGAGUCAUUUCCAGCUUUAUCUGAAAGCAUCAGAAGACUCCCGUCCACCGGGUCAGGAUUCGUCCCGGUAUUUGCUCCGACCAGGCGCCUGUUGCGCCGCUCCGCUCCGUCAAGCCGCCUGUUGCGCCCCUCUGCUCCGCAUUGUCGCCUGUUGCGUCCCUCCGCUCAUCUCGUGUGCCUGUGGCGCCGUUCCGCUCCGCCAAUUCGCCUGUUGCGCCCCUCUGCUCCGCCACGGCGUCUAUUGCGCCCCUCUGCUACGCCGUGCCGCCUGUUGCGCCCCUCCGCUCCUCCCGUGUGCCUGUUGUGCCCUUCCGCCCGACCAGGCGCCUGUUGCGCCCCUCUGAAGCGCAGCGGGAAGUCCUUUUGGACUCUGAAGACAAGGAAGACUGGAAUUUCUAUCUUCACUUAACAAAGCGAAUGUAGACUCUUCAACGAUUAACAUUCAACGAUACCACUGAAGGUCCUUCCGAGUCAUUUAGAAUCUGAAUCAGCGGCACCUCAUCAGGUUUGUGUGUGCGUGUGCGUGUGUUCUGAUCUGUAUUGGAGAUUCGUAUUCAUUUUCAUCCUGCGGAGGGCGUCGCGUCCUCCUCAUCUGUCUGUUCUCUCAGCGGUCCUCCUCCUCUCUCUCUCUCUCUCUCUCUCUCUCGCUCUCGCUCUCGCUCUCUCUCUCUCUCUCUCUCUCUCUCCGUCCUCUCGCUCUCCCUCCCUCUGUGGAUCGACGGCGUCUCGUCUCAUCACAGCUGCAAAAGUUCUCCGUCUGAAGGAAGGAGGAGAGGCAGAGGGGGAAGCAGGUGAAGAUGGAGACCAAAAGCAGGAGCCGUCUCCCUCCAGGUGAGACGCACACACACAAAUACACAAGCGAGCAUACACACACACACACACACAAAUGCAAACCCAAACCCACACACAAAAAUACACAAACGAGCACAUACACAAAUGAGCAUGCACGCAUGAACACAUGCACACACAAGCACACAAACACACGUGCACAUGCAUGCGCACGUGCCCACACACGACACACUCACACGGAACGCACACACACAUGAACACACACACACACACACACACUCAGAAGCACCGUUUAUUUUAACGGGUGUGAGUUUGCAUGUUAAUGAGCUAGAGUCGAUCAUAUUAAUAAG
ensembl:lncRNA